GACUGACUCGAAGAUCCCAGAUGCGCAAUAUGGCUAUGAGAAAGGCUUGACCAUAGCGCUUGCUGCACUCUCUGGAGCGAACCGCGUCUGCG
rnacentral:ncRNA from 1 species